rnacentral:rRNA from 1 species
GACGGAGGGGGCUAGCGUUGUUCGGAAUUACUGGGCGUAAAGCGCGUGUAGGCUGCGGUGUAAGUCGGACGUGAAAGCCCUUGGCUUAACCAAGGAAGUGCAUCCGAUACUGCGUCGCUUGAGUGCCGGAGGGGGUGGCGGAAUUCCCGGUGUAGAGGUGAAAUUCGUAGAUAUCGGGAGGAACACCUGUGGCGAAGGCGGCCACCUGGACGGUAACUGACGCUGAGACGCGAAAGCGUGGGUAGCAAACAGG